AAUAGAUACCCGGUAGUCCACCCGUAACGUUGGACUAGUUGUGGGUCCAUUCCACGGAUUCCGUGACGCAGCUAACGCAUUAAGUUCCCCGCCUGGGGAGUACGGCCGCAAGGCUAAAACUCAAAGGAAUUGACGGGGACCCGCACAAGCGGCGGAGCAUGCGGAUUAAUUCGAUGCAACGCGAAGAACCUUACCAAGGCUUGACAUAUACGAGAACGGGCCAGAAAUGGUCAACUCUUUGGACACUCGUAAACAGGUGGUGCAUGGUUGUCGUCAGCUCGUGUCGUGAGAUGUUGGGUUAAGUCCCGCAACGAGCGCAACCCUCGUUCUAUGUUGCCAGCACGUAAUGGUGGGAACUCAUGGGAUACUGCCGGGGUCAACUCGGAGGAAGGUGGGGAUGACGUCAAAUCAUCAUGCCCCUUAUGUCUUGGGCUUCACGCAUGCUACAAUGGCCGGUACAAUGGGCUGCGAUACCGUAAGGUGGAGCGAAUACCCAAAAGGCCGGUCCAGUUCGGAUUGAGGUCUGCAACGUCGACCUCA
rnacentral:rRNA from 1 species